GUGCUGAGGGGGCGGAGAGACAAUUUCCAGCAGAUGAUCCUCACUCACAAAGCCUGCGGCCCCACAGUUCAUCAAUACUGGACGGGGUGGGGUGGGUGACUGUUAUUGAGCCACCGGUGGCCUCUAUCUAUCGCAGGCCGGUGAGGAGCAGAUGUGGCCCAGACAGGCGGCGUCAGACCCUGACAACGGGAUGUAGCAAGUUCCGAGGGGAACCCACAUGUGCAUCGUCUCCCGACACUUUUCCAAUUUGCCAUAAUUGUCCCCACACGGGCACCAGGAACCAUGGCCUCUGCUUUGGAUCAGCUGCGUUAAACCUCCUGUGACUCUUAACUCUUAGGGACCUUGAUAUCCGCUGACUGUCUGCACCAAAUCACCCCUGUCGCCAUCACCGAGACGCCGUUUAAUUGGAGAGGUGCCACAGAUGAUACACUAAAAGCAGCCAAAACAGGCAAGAAGAUCCCAAAUGUGACCCUCGUUUAGACGCCACACGCCUCGCUCUGUUAUUUAGAGGAUAACGCUGGAGAGAUUUCACUGUGAAGCAGUGCACUGUUUAACCAAUCAACAAAUGAUCAAAUCUGCGAUCGGAGGAAUCAGCCAUAUUAGCAGGCAGUUGAAACACAAAUGCGCAGCCCUGAGGGUGCCCAGGAUUUGAUUUGGGAGACGAUAACAGCUCGUGAACAAGCUCCUCACUGCAUCUCCACAGAGGAACACAACAUGUGCUGCAUAUCUGCAUAGAUCAGGCUUCAGUGCUGCGACUGGAACGCAAAGCAGUAGUUAGGACUGAUAUGCUUUUGGUUUCAAUCCUUGUUUUCGUCACUGAAGAUAUAUCUAAAGUGUGCAAUCCAGUCAAUCAAACUUUACAGCAGAUGGAAAUGAAGACGGACACAGGUUUUGUUUCAUCCAGCUGUAUUUACUCAGUGCAACUCAAUAACAUUCAACCUAUUAAACAUUAUCUAAACCAUGCAAAUAUAUAACAGACAUUACUAUCUACAAGAAUAAAUGUUUAGUCUAUAAUGUCAUGUAAGUAUUUUUGCUGUUUUUAUUAAUAUUAAUGUUUGAUUAUUAGACAUUAUCUAAACUGUGCAAUGUAUUAAUAAUAUUAAAUACUAUCUACAACAAAUAUGUUUAGACCAUGGUGUGAUACAAAUAUUUAUUUGUUUUCAAUAAUAUUAAUGUGAUUGUGAAAUGUGAUUGUCUAAACUCUCCUUUGUAUUAAAACCAUUAAAUACUUUCUACAAGAGUAAAUAUGUAUAGACACACACACAUGCACAUUUAUG
rnacentral:lncRNA from 1 species